CGUGGGAAUAUGCCCUUCUCUAAGGAAUAGCCUCUGGAAACGGAGAGUAAUACCUUAUACGCCCUUCGGGGGAAAGAUUUAUCGGAGAAGGAUUAGCCCGCGUUAGAUUAGGUAGUUGGUGGGGUAAUGGCCUACCAAGCCUACGAUCUAUAGCUGGUUUGAGAGGAUGAUCAGCCACACUGGGACUGAGACACGGCCCAGACUCCUACGGGAGGCAGCAGUAGGGAAUCUUAGACAAUGGGGGCAACCCUGAUCUAGCCAUGCCGCGUGUGUGAUGAAGGCCCUAGGGUCGUAAAGCACUUUCGCCAGAGAUGAUAAUGACAGUAUCUGGUAGAGAAACCCCGGCUAACUCCGUGCCAGCAGCCGCGGUAAUACGGAGGGGGUUAGCGUUGUUCGGAAUUACUGGGCGUAAAGCGCACGUAGGCGGAUUAGUAAGUUAGAGGCGAAAUCCCAGGGCUCAACCCUGGAACUGCCUUUAAUACUGCUAGUCUUGAGUUCGAGAGAGGUAAGUGGAAUUCCGAGUGUAGAGGUGAAAUUCGUAGAUAUUCGGAGGAACACCAGUGGCGAAGGCGGCUUACUGGCUCGAUACUGACGCUGAGGUGCGAAAGUGUGGGGAGCAAACAGGAUUAGAUACCCUGGUAGUCCACACCGUAAACGAUGAAUGCCAGACGUCAGCAAGUAUACUUGUUGGUG
rnacentral:rRNA from 1 species